GUCCUGGACUCCACACCUCCAGGUGCCUCCGAACCUCACCAGGCCGGGGAAGAAGAGUCCGGAACUCAAGCUCCGAGCGGCCUCAGCGGCGAGCAACGCAGCCAUGGCCAAGAUUAAGGCUCGGGACCUGCGCGGCAAGAAAAAGGAGGAGCUGCUAUAAACAACUGGACAAUUUGAAGGUGGAGCUAUCCCAGCUUCGCAUCGCCAAGGUGACAGGCGGCGCACGUCCAAGCUCUCCAAGAAAGAUACGAGUUGUCCACAAAUCCAUCUCCUGUUGAAAGACCCCCAAGAUUCAAAAAGAAAACCUCAGGAAAUUCUACAAGGGCAAGAAGUACAAGCCUCUGGACCUACGACCCAAGAAAACUAGAGCCAUGCGCCGCGGGCUCACCAAUCACGAGGAGAAGCUGAAGACAAAGAAGCAGCAGCGGAAGGAGAGGCUGUAUCCACUAUGCAAGCAUGCGGUCAAGGCCUAAUGGAAGGGCAAUAAAGUACAAGACUGGAAAAAAAAAUUAUAUCCGGGUUUCAGAUGGGAGGCAAAAGGUAGCAAAAACCACAAAAAUGCCUGAGGAGAGAAAUGGCGAGAACCUGCGUCGGGCACAAUGGAAAGAAUAGCCUUUGCUUGAUAAAGAUACAGGCUUGCUUUCGGCUAGCUUUUAGAGCCUGGAGCUGGCACCUCUGUGUACUACUGUUCUGCAUUGGAAACCUCUGAAACCCCUCUUCCUCAAACAAAGGCCCGGAAUCAUGACGAGCUGAAGUUGUCAGCUCUUGUGUUGUCAGGAUCCUCAGCAGGUCUCCUACCUGCCCCCCCUGACCUUCUGGCUGCAGGCUGGCUUUUCCAGAAAACAAUAAUGUUCUGUGUUUAAUAGGAACCAAUACUUCUGAGCCCAGGAGGGUAAACAUGGGAUCUGGCCCUAGGACGCGGAAGUCUAAGAUACAGGCCUGACAAAGUUUGGGCACCUGCUCCGGAGCUCUGGGGUGAUACCUGUGUGGCAUGGCUCACAUCAGUUUCGUGUCCUCCCUUCAUGAGCCAUUCAAUGCAGGACCCCAGGAAGGGCAGGGGUACCUGGGAAGCCACUCUGCGGUUUGACUCUCUAGAAGUCCAGCCGGGAUGCAGGGCAGCAAACCUUCCCUCACGGCCAGUUCCAAAAAACGUUUCCUCAACAUCAUUGCACCUACCCACCCCUGACCCCUUUGAGCUUCUGGCCAGGCCACCUCUUUCCAUCUCCCUCACCACCUUUGAGAAUCAAACAGAAAAUCCAGGGAGGCUUGCCAGCAUGGCCUCAGAGAAGUCAGCCGGAAGAAGUUUAGACGUGGGAAAAGCUACUUAUCUGUAAUUGUAGCCGCAGGCAUCCAUAAUUAAGAAGGCAAUUUACUUCCAAGACAGUUGUAUAAUGCCUUCCUUGCCGAAGGAUGUUUUAGGGGUUUUCUGCUGUGCCAAAUCAUAUUCGGUUCCCACUUCUGCAUGAAGUCACCUAAAAUCGAGCAUGUUCAAUCAAGAAGAUAGAAAGGCUUGGUGAGAUGUGGGCAUGCCCUCUCCACCUAGAUUUGGGCCUUGCACUCACAAGGGCUCGCUUGUCUCAGAAAAGCUCAUAUGUGGGCUAGGAAACAAAUGAUAACGGUUAUCUGAAGUCCUCUUGGGGUGCUGUGCAGAAUCUGCAGUCUGUCCCAAGCCAGGGGCCCAGGAGGUGUUCCUUUAAUGUUUGUUGAACGAAGCUGCUGUGCAGACCUGAAUCUGCCAUAAUUACUGUCUUAGCUGGGUUUCUAUUGCUGUGA